rnacentral:rRNA from 1 species
UGGGGAAUUGUUCGCAAUGGGCGCAAGCCUGACGACGCAACGCCGCGUGGAGGAUGAAGGUCUUCGGAUUGUAAACUCCUGUUGACCGGGAAGAACGGGCUCCGACCUAACACGUCGGGGCAGUGACGGUACCGGUUGAGGAAGCCACGGCUAACUCUGUGCCAGCAGCCGCGGUAAUACAGAGGUGGCAAGCGUUGUUCGGAAUUACUGGGCGUAAAGGGCGCGUAGGCGGUCGCCUAAGUCGGACGUGAAAUCCCCAAGCUUAACUUGGGAACUGCGUCCGAUACUGGGUGACUUGAGUUCGGGAGAGGAAUGUGGAAUUCCAGGUGUAGCGGUGAAAUGCGUAGAUAUCUGGAGGAACACCGGUGGCGAAGGCGGCAUUCUGGACCGAAACUGACGCUGAGGCGCGAAAGCCAGGGGAGCAAACGGGAUUAGAUACCCCGGUAGUCCUGGCCCUAAACGAUGAGUGCUUGGUGUGGCGGGUAUCGAUCCCUGCCGUGCCGAAGCUAACGCAUUAAGCACUCCGCCUGGGGAGUACGGUCGCAAGGCUGA